UACGUAGGGUGCAAGCGUUAAUCGGAAUACUGGGCGUAAAGCGUGCGCAGGCGGUUUUGUAAGUCUGUCGUGAAAUCCCCGGGCUUAACCUGGGAACUGCAUUUGUGACUGCAUAGCUAGAGUACGGUAGAGGGGGAUGGAAUUCCGCGUGUAGCAGUGAAAUGCGUAGAUAUGCGGAGGAACACCGAUGGCGAAGGCAAUCCCCUGGACCUGUACUGACGCUCAUGCACGAAAGCGUGGGGAGCAAACAGG
rnacentral:rRNA from 1 species